GAUGAACGCUGGCGGCGUGCCUAACACAUGCAAGUCGAGCGAACGGACGAGAAGCUUGCUUCUCUGAUGUUAGCGGCGGACGGGUGAGUAACACGUGGAUAACCUACCUAUAAGACUGGGAUAACCUCGGGACACCGGAGCUAACACCGGAUGAUCUUCUGAACCGCAUGGUUCAAAAGUGAAAGACGGCCUUGCUGUCACUUAUAGAUGGAUCCGCGCUGCAUUAGCUAGUUGGUAAGGUAACGGCUUAUCAAGGCAACGAUGCAUAGCCGACCUGGGAGACGGAUCGCCCACACUAGAGCUGAGACGCGGUCCAUGCUCCUGCGGGAGGCAGCAGUAGGGAAUCUUCCGCAGUGGGCGAAAGCCUGACGGAGCGACGCCGCGUGAGUGGUGAAGGUCCUCGGUGCGUAAAGCUCUGUUAUGAGGGAAAAACAUAUGUGUAAGUAACUGAGCACAUCUUGACGGUACCUAGUCAGGAAGCCACGGCUAACUACGUG
rnacentral:rRNA from 1 species